rnacentral:rRNA from 1 species
AUUGAACGCUGGCGGCAGGCCUAACACAUGCAAGUCGAGCGGAUGAAGGGAGCUUGCUCCUGGAUUCAGCGGCGGACGGGUGAGUAAUGCCUAGGAAUCUGCCUGGUAGUGGGGGAUAACGUCCGGAAACGGGCGCUAAUACCGCAUACGUCCUGAGGGAGAAAGUGGGGGAUCUUCGGACCUCACGCUAUCAGAUGAGCCUAGGUCGGAUUAGCUAGUUGGUGGGGUAAAGGCCUACCAAGGCGACGAUCCGUAACUGGUCUGAGAGGAUGAUCAGUCAAACGGGAACGGAGAAAAGGCCCAGAACCCAAGGGGAGGAAAGAGGGGGGAAAUUGGGAAAAGGGGGGAAAGCCUGACACAGCCAGGCCGGGGGGGGGAAGAAGGGUUUCGGAUUGUAAAGCACUUUAAGUGGGGGGGAAGGGAAGUAAGUUAAAACCUUGUUUUUUGGACGUUAAAAAAAAAAAAAACACCGGAUAACUUCGU